GAAAUGCGAUAAGUAAUGCGAAUUGCAGAUUUCAGUGAAUCAUCGAAUCUUUGAACGCACAUUGCACCCGGCGGCCAUUCCGCCGGGUCUGCCUGUCCGAGCGUCGUUUCGCCCCUCGGGUCCCCCUGGGAACCCGGUGUUGGGGAUCUGCAGCGCAAGCUGCAGGCCCUGAAAUACAGUGGCGGGCCCUGCUGGAAGUCCCCUGCGCAGUAGAACACACUCGCACCGGGCGCCGGCAGGAUCCUGGCCGUCAACCGGUCGGCGCGCCUCCGGGGGCGCCGCCCACCACAGAACAGUCGACCUCGGAUCAGGUAGGGUUACCCGCUGAACUUAA
rnacentral:misc_RNA from 1 species